rnacentral:rRNA from 1 species
UAAGCGGAGGAAAAGAAACUAACAAGGAUUCCCCUAGUAACGGCGAGUGAAGUGGGAAAAGCUCAACUUUGUAAUCUGGCAGCUUCGCUGUCCGAGUUGUAGUCUCGAGAAAUGUUUUCCGCGCUGGCAUGUGUAUGAGUCUGUUGGAAUACAGCGUCAUAGAGGGUGAGAACCCCGUUCAUGACACAUCUCCCAGUGCUUUGUGAUACAUUUUCGAUGAGUCGAGUUGUUUGGGAAUGCAGCUCAAAAUGGGUGGUAAAUUCCAUCUAAAGCUAAAUAUUGGCGAGAGACCGAUAGCAAACAAGUACCGUGAGGGAAAGAUGAAAAGCACUUUGGAAAGAGAGUUAAAAGUACGUGAAAUUGUUGAAAGGGAAACGCUUGAAGUCAGACGUGCGCAGUGCGAUUCAGCUCUAUUUCGGUAGAGUGUAUUUCGUGCUAUUGCAGGCCAGCAUCGGUUUUGCGAGCCGGAUAAAGGUUAGUAGAAGGUAGCAUCUUCGGAUGUGUUAUAGCUUCUAACUGAAUACGGAUUGCGAGACCGAGGGACGCAGCACGGCGCAAGCCAGAAGAUUCGUCUUCUUCGUGCUUAGGAUGCUGGUGAAAUGGCUUUAAACGACCCGUCUUGAAACACG